rnacentral:misc_RNA from 1 species
CAGACAGCAUCAGUAGUGGCCAGACUGGCGGGCCGCGCGGACAGCAGUUAAGAUACCCAGCAAGUGUGUGUGUGUGUGUGAGAGGAGAGGUAACGAGCGAGGCUUGUGUCGCGGCACCUUCACCCUCGUGCGCGGACCUCGCUUAUUAUCAUUAAAACCUUUACUCUGCUUCGUGCGGUGUUAAUUACCAGUGAAUGAAUAGAUUAAAUUAAUGUGCUCUGGUUUAAUGUCCUAUAGUGAUGUGGAUAUCUGAAUGUGCAAAUGGAAGAGCCUGCUUCCUAUCAAGAUAUUGAAAAUAAGUUGUUAGAUCUGAGGUCAAGCAGUCAGGAUAUAUGGUAUGUGUAGGGUGAGUGUGCUCCGUAUAUCAGGGCAUCAGUUGACGAGGCGCCCUGUGACAUACGUUGUUUUGUGACCCCGUCUACACUCACGCCCGCACAGUUGACGAGAAUUUUGUUGGGGGUUGUCGCAGGUCCAGUGGUCGGGCAGGGCUGGGUAGCCGGUGUGGCCCACGGGCCGCACUGGCGACAUGGGCGGCAGGUGCGGGCCACAAUGGUGGCGGGGCGCGCAGUUAAAGCUGCAGCAACAGGUGGGUGGCCUGGCCGGGCCACCGUCUCACUGACCAUUUUCAUGAACCAAUAUAGUUGCGGUGCGGCCCACCUGGCCACAUUUCUCUUGUUGGUCACGGUGGGCGUGGCCGGGGCUGUGGCCAAGCCGGCACCGCCACUUGGGGCCAUCAACUCCACCCCCUCCCACCACUCUCCCGAGGACGAAGACUACUAUUAUUACGACUACGACUACGGGUCCAACGACAACCUUAAUAUGAGUGAGUUCCAUCUACCGGAGGAGGCAGGGGAAGACGCCCCCCACGUGCCUCGUUACAUGCUUGAGCUCUACGCUGACCAGAGCUCCUUACACGCCAACCCGCACCCGGGCGCCGACCUCGUCAGGAGUUUCAUCGCUGUCACCACAGAGUCAUCACACAAGGGAGGAGAGGCGAGGGUGGAAGGUGGAGGCGACGCAGCCAGAGGCAGCGCAGGGGACGCAGCCAGAGGCAGCGGGGUCCGUGUACACACGCUGCUCUUCAACGUGACUGUCCCCCGCCGAGAGAGGGUCACCUCCGCCUCCCUCAGGCUCUACGCUCUCAUUACCCGGGACCAGUACGCUUAUAUUGGUGUGGAGCGUCGGGUCCGUCUGGUGAUCGAGACAGAGCGAGGCAUCACGCUGGACGACAUCACGCCGCAGGGGCUGGUGGUGAGCGACACGGAGAGUGGCGGCGGCGGCCUGGGCACCGGCAGGGGAGGCGUGCAGGUCACUGUGUGCGAGAGAGACAUCUACGAGCUGCAGAAUGCCUGGGAGACGUUCGACGUCACCUCUGCCGUCAAGUACUGGAUGGCUCACCCCUCCGUCCCGCAACUGUUGCAGAUUCACAUCGAAUCAGUGUUCUCGACGGUCGGGGAAGGUGGAGACAUGGACGUGGCGACAGCGCCCCGCACAGACAGCGAGCCCCUCCUCCUCCUCUACUCCUCCACCAGGCACCGCCACCAGGCCCGCAAGGAGCUUGACCUCAUGAUCUCCCACGAGUAUGAGGAUCAUCCAGAGCAUAAGAGGCGAAGGAGACGGCGGUCAAUAGAAGACCCUGAGAGAUUAAGAUCCCGAAGGAAUGUAGCAGAGCUGCAGGAAGAGGAAAGCAAUGUGAUCUGGGAGGGGGAGCUGGAUGUUCCUGGACUCCCCACACAAGCUCAAAAUCCGUUCGGAGGUAAGGUCGUGCCAAAGGGCGCAGGCCACGCAAGAGGAAAGCAAAGAACGGGUGCAAGAAGAAGCCUCUGAGGGUGGAUUUCAAGGACAUCGGCUGGGACACGUGGAUCAUCGCCCCGCCCUCAUAUGAGGCUAAUCAGUGCAGCGGCAAGUGCAACUAUCCCCUGGCCUCCCACCUGAGCCCGACCAAACACGCCGUGGUGCAGAACCUGGUUCACUCUCUGCAUCCAGACCGCACCUCCCGGGCCUGCUGCGUCCCCACUCUCCU